rnacentral:rRNA from 1 species
UCCGCCGGCUAUAGAGCAGGGGAAACACCCGUUCCCAUCCCGAACACGGAAGUAAAGUCCUGCAUCGCCAAUGGUACUUGAGGGUUCGCUCUCCGGAAGAGUAGGACGCCGGCGGAU